UACGUAGGGGGCAAGCGUUAUCCGGAAUCACUGGGCGUAAAGGGUGCGUAGGCGGCCUGACAAGUCAGAGGUGAAAGGCUACGGCUUAACCGUAGUAAGCCUUUGAAACUGUCAGACUUGAGUUAAGGAGAGGAAAGUGGAAUUCCUAGUGUAGCGGUGAAAUGCGUAGAUAUUGGGAGGAAUACCAGUGGCGAAGGCGAUCUGCUGGAACUCAACUGACGCUGAGGCACGAAAGCGUGGGGAGCAAACA
rnacentral:rRNA from 1 species